rnacentral:misc_RNA from 1 species
GAAAUGCGAUACGUAGUGUGAAUUGCAGAAUUCCGUGAAUCAUCGAAUCCUCGAACGCAUAUUGCGCUUCUGGGUAUUCCUAGAAGCACGCCUGUUUGAGUAUCAGUGUUAAACCUCAAACAUAAAUGUUUUGCCUUUAUUGGCGAAUGUUUCAUGUUUGGACAUGGAUCUUCCACGAAUAGAUGCUCGCAUCUGCGUGAGAUCUGAAAUUAAGUGAAAGGCAGGUACCGUAUGGAACCAAAGGCUAGAUAAGGGUACUUUCGGGUCCUUUAAAAAGCUGAUAUAGUUCUUGAUAUCUGAUCCUUCAAACCCCAACAAAUCCGGGCUCAAAACUUUAUAUUUUGAGAAUCCGUGACUUUGAUCUCAAAUCAGGCGAGACUACCCGCUGAACUUAA